UAAGGAAUAUUGCUCAAUGGGAGAAAUCCUGAAGCAGCAACGCCGCGUGGAGGAUGAAGGGUCUAUGACUUGUAAACUCCUGUAAAGAAGGAAAAAAUUCCCAUUAGAUGGGAGAUGAUGGUACUUCUGGAGUAAGCCCCGGCUAACUACGUGCCAGCAGCCGCGGUAAUACGUAGGGGGCAAGCGUUGUCCGGAUUUACUGGGUGUAAAGGGUGCUCAGGCGGAUUUGUAAGUCAGAGGUGAAAUCUUACAGCUUAACUGUGAAACUGCCUUUGAUACUGCAAGACUAGAGUAUGGAAGAGAGUGAUGGAAUAUCUGGUGUAGCAGUGAAAUGCGUAGAUAUCAGAUAGAACACCAAUGGCGAAGGCAGUCACUUGGUCCAUUACUGACGUUAAAGCACGAAAGCGUGGGUAGCAAACA
rnacentral:rRNA from 1 species